rnacentral:rRNA from 1 species
AGUGAACGCUGGCGGUAGGCCUAACACAUGCAAGUCGAACGGCAGCACAGUAAGAGCUUGCUCUUACGGGUGGCGAGUGGCGGACGGGUGAGGAAUACAUCGGAAUCUACUUUUUCGUGGGGGAUAACGUAGGGAAACUUACGCUAAUACCGCAUACGGCCUACGGGUGAAAGCAGGGGAUCUUCGGACCUUGCGCGAUUGAAUGAGCCGAUGUCGGAUUAGCUAGUUGGCGGGGUAAAGGCCCACCAAGGCGACGAUCCGUAGCUGGUCUGAGAGGAUGAUCAGCCACACUGGAACUGAGACACGGUCCAGACUCCUACGGGAGGUAGCAGUGGGGAAUAUUGGACAAUGGGCGCAAGCCUGAUCCAGCCAUACCGCGUGGGUGAAGAAGGCCUUCGGGUUGUAAAGCCCUUUUGUUGGGAAAGAAAAGCAGCAGGUUAAUACCCCGCUGUUCUGACGGUACCCAAAGAAUAAGCACCGGCUAACUUCGUG